UUUUUUAAUUGAAAGCUUGUAUGAAUGGUUUGACAAAGUAUUUACUGUCUUAAUAAAAAUUAUUAUAUAAAUUUAUUUUUUAAUUAAAAAGUUAAAAUAAUGUUGGAGGACGAGAAGACCCUAUAGAUCUUUAUAAUUAAUUAAAUUUUUAUUUUUUUAGAAUAAUUUAAUAAUUUUUUAAUUAAUUAUUUUAUUGGGGUGAUAAUAAAAUUUAUAAAACUUUUAUUUUAUAAAACAUUAAUUUAUGAAUAUUUGAUCCAUUAUUUAUGAUUAAAAAUUUAAGUUACCUUAGGGAUAACAGCGUUAUAUUUUUAGAGAGUUCAUAUCGAUAAAAAUGAUUGC
rnacentral:rRNA from 1 species